rnacentral:rRNA from 1 species
ACUUCUAUUUAGCUAAUUCUAGCCUUGUUAAAGGUCCAACUUAGUUUUACUAAAGAGAGACUUGGUGAGUGAUACACGCUCGUUUUGGUUGGGGCAACCGCGGAGAAUAAUGAUCCUCCGCUAAUUUAACACGUGAAAAGGUAACUGCUUUACCGGGGAUGGCUUCUAACUGUUUUGAUCCGCUUAUGUUUAAAGCGAUAAAAGGAAUAAGUUACCGCAGGGAUAACAGCGUAAUUCUUUUGGAGAGUCCGUAUUGAUAAAAGAGUUUGCGACCUCGAUGUUGGAUCGGGAUAUCCUAAAAGUGCAGCAGCUUUUGAGGGUUGGUCUGUUCGACCAUUAAAAUCCUACGUGAUCUGAGUUCAGACCGGCGUAAGCCAGGUCAGUUUCUAUCUUCGAUUCCAUUAAAAGUUUUGUUCUUUUCAGUACGAAAGGAUCGAAGGAGCGAUACCAAUGCUUCAAAGUAAGUAUUAGAGUUAUAA